rnacentral:tRNA from 1 species
AGGGAUGUGGCUCAGUGGUAGAGCGUUCGCUUUGCACGUGAAAUGCCCCGGUUCGAUCCCCGGCAUCUCCA